rnacentral:rRNA from 1 species
CGCGUAGGUGGUUAUGUAAGAUUGAUGUGAAAUCCCUGGGCUUAACCUAGGAACUGCGUCGAUGACUGCAUAGCUGGAGUACUGUAGAGGGUAGUAGAAUUUCCGGUGUAGCGGUGAAAUGCGUAGAGAUCGGAAGGAAUACCAGUGGCGAAGGCGGCUACCUGGACAGAUACUGACACUGAGGCGCGAAAGCGUGGGGAGCAAACAGGAUUAGAUACCCUGGUAGUCCACGCUGUAAACGAUGAAGACUAGAUGUUGUUCAGCUUGACUGAUUAGUAUCGAAGCUAACGCGAUAAGUCUUCCGCCUGGGGAGUACGGCCGCAAGGUUAAA